UGAAUACGAGAUGCUACGGCGUCGAAGCAGUCUAUGUCAUACUUCCAAGAAAAGCUUGCACUGUCAUAAACAAAUAAUGCCUGUACCAUAACCGACACAGGUGGGUAGGUAGAGUACACUAAGGGGCGCGAGAUAACUCUCUCUAAGGAACUCGGCAAAAUGACUCCGUAACUUCGGGAGAAGGAGUGCCUUAUUUUAUAAGGUUGCAAUAACAAGAUCCAAGCAACUGUUUACCAAAAACACAGGUCUCCGCUAAGUCGUAAGACAAUGUAUGGGGCUGACGCCUGCCCAGUGCCAGAAGGUUAAAGAAGUUGGUUAGCAUCCGCGAAGCUGAUAACUGAAGCCCUGGUGAACGGCGGCCGUAACGAUAACGGUCCUAAGGUAGCGAAAUUCCUUGUCGGGUAAGUUCCGACCCGCACGAAAGGCGUAAUGAUUUGGAUACUGUCUCAGAGAGGGGCUCGGUGAAAUAGACUUGUCUGUGAAGAUGCGGACUACCUGCACCAGGACAGAAAGACCCUACGAAGCUUUACUGUAACUUGAAAUUGAAAUUGGACUUUACUUGCGCAGUAUAGGUGGGAGGCGUUGAGAAUAUUCUUGCGGGAAUGUUGGAGCCAUCAGUGAGAUACCACUCUUGUAAUGUUAGAUUUCUAACUUUGUAUCAUUAUCUGGUCAAAGGACAGUUUCAGGCGGGCAGUUUGACUGGGGCGGUCGCCUCCCAAACGGUAACGGAGGCGCACAAAGGUUUCCUCUGAACGGGUAGAAAUCGUAUCUAGAGUGUAAAGGCAUAAGGAAGCUUGACUGUGAGACCUACAAGUCGAGCAGGGACGAAAGUCGGUCUUAGUGAUCUGACGGUGCUGAGUGGAAAGGCCGUCACUCAACGGAUAAAAGUUACUCUAAGGAUAACAGGCUGAUCUCCCCCAAGAGUUCACAUCGACGGGGAGGUUUGGCACCUCGAUGUCGGCUCAUCGCAUCCUGGGGCGGUAGUACGUCCCAAGGGUUGGGCUGUUCGCCCAUGAAAGCGGUACGCGAGCUGGGUUCAGAACGUCGUGAGACAGUUCGGUCCAUAUCCGGUGUAGGCGUUAGAAUAUUGAGAGGAGCCUUCUUUAGUACGAGAGGACCGAGAAGGACAUACCUCUGGUGUACCAGUUAUCGUGCCAACGGUAAACGCUGGGUAGCUAUGUAUGGAGUGGAUAACCGCUGAAAGCAUCUAAGUGGGAAGCCCACCUCAAGAUAAG
rnacentral:rRNA from 1 species